AGCAGCCGCGGUAAUUCCAGCUCCAAUAGCGUAUAUUAAAGUUGUUGCAGUUAAAAGCUCGUAGUUGAAUUUCGGGGUCAGCAGGUCGGUCGUGCCACUGGUAUGUACUGGCUUUGCUGAUUCCUCCCUCUUGACGAACCGUAAUGCCAUUAAUUUGGUGCUGCGGGAAAUCAGGACUGUUACUUUGAAAAAUUGAGUGUUUAAAGCAGGCUUACGCUUGAAUACAUUAGCAUGGAAUAAUGAAAUAGGACGUUCGAUCCUAUUUUGUUGGUUUCU
rnacentral:misc_RNA from 1 species